rnacentral:lncRNA from 1 species
AGUACAUAGUCCCUAGUUCAGUUAUUUGCUAGACCAUGAGAUGUUCCAUGAUAUCGAAAAAGGAUGGAGGGAAGCACAUCUCGAGCUGGACCUGAGUUUCCAGCACAAACAGUUGAAGCCUAGCCAACUUGACACAAUCAAUCACUUUCUGCAAAAUCACGUUGAAGAAGUAACACAUCCGUGUGAUAACCAUCUUACGAAUAUUGGUUUGAUAGUCUGAAUCACAAUAGCGAGAAAAACUGUGAUCAUCACAUGGAAAUCAUGAGAGUUAUAGCUGGCAAGCGUCAUGUCCUUCAAUGAGACUAGUGAUCGGAUGUUUGAUGAGAAUCUGGUCGACACUUUCCAUCCGCGCAAGCACUUGCACAUAGCUAAUCUCUCAUCUGGUGUUAAGUUGUAGCUAGCCGGGGAAAGGUAAUGCUUACCACUAGAUAGUUCUUAC